GUUCAACUUACUAUGUGGGACCAGGUAUCAAACCCAGGCCAUCUGCAUGCUUUAGGACUGUGUUAGCCCACUGAGCUAAAAAGCCUAUGUAUUUGCUCUGGGAGCUAACGUGAGCCCUCAGGUCUACAGGGCUAGUCCUAACACAAGCUUGUUCACUGAACUAACUCUGUUUUCUAGUGGUCACUAAACGUCCCAUGGCACUCGAAUUGAGUAGAAGUCUAAACCCUAGUGUCCUUCCCAACCUGGUCACCAUACCACUAUGGCCACCUAAUCAUCCUGGCCUUCAAUGGUCUCAUAUAGCAUUAAAUACCUGUAAAUUACAAUGGAAAGGAGUUGCGUGCACGAGCUGUCAUGAAUGUGUGACCUGUCAUGAAUAUUUGUAUUCAAAAUGGUGGGCAUUAUUCAAUGUCUACAAUCCUGUAUCUGACCACACUGUCACAUUUACUAGGCCAAACCCAUCCCAGGUUGCAUAACAAAACAGACAUUUAAAGGUCAAAUUUUGUGAGCACUGUCUGGGAGUGGUUUGAGUGGGGAGGGAAAACUGAAAAUUAACUGUUAUUGGCAGAGGUUUGGAACUCUUUCUUAUUGGUCCAUUAUUGCCGUGUUCAAGCGCUAGUCGAAACUUGAAAAUGUCCGACUUGCUAAUUGGUUGAACGCGACGUGUAUAAUAACUACAACCAGUUAGCAAGUCGGAAAUUUCAGAGUUCCUACUAGCACGUGAACUAAUAACUAAUUUACUGCAUGGUGAUGUCACCAUGGAAGGCCAAAACUCCAUCCCACAAAAACAGGCUGAGAUUUCAAGUGGUCUUUUCAAAUGGCUCUCACACUAAAAGUGAAAAUUAUGAAAUGGCUCAAUUUCACAGUAUUAUUCCAACUUCAGAGUGGAAAUAUAUAUAAGACAGACUGCACUGGACCUUUAAGGUUGGCUCUUUUCUUGUUUUGACACAUGAUGUUGAGUGUCAAUGUUCUAAUUCAUGAGACCAUGAGUGUGUUAUUCUGAGACUGAAAAUGGGUUAUUUACAUGUGGGCUGUUCAUUGACUGUUGGUGCUCUGUAGAUGACUAUAGUUAGUUUUAGAAGUUUCCCAACCGUUUGGGUUACAGAUAAACAGAUCCAUCCAGACUUUGACCUCUGUCUGUUUAAAACCAGCCUGACUACUGAGCAUCACACACACUCUGACACUCACAGAAGUCUGAUUGUUUGCCUGCCUUUCAGAACCUCUGGACUGAACCAUGAGUUCUUGCGUGACCCUGUCGUCAGGGCAUAAGAUUCCCCUGGUGGGGCUGGGGACCUGGAAGAGUGCCCCUGGACAGGUGAAGCAGGCUGUGCUGACGGCUCUAGACUGUGGCUACAGACACAUUGAUUGUGCUGCUGCGUACAGUAAUGAGCAGGAGGUCGGGGAGGCACUGGCUCUGAGGCUGGGACCAGGAAAGGCCCUGCGUCGUGAGGAUGUAUUUCUGACCUCUAAGCUGUGGAACACCCAGCAUCACCCUGACGAUGUAGAGACCGCCUGUAGGAAGAGUCUAAUACACCUGGGACUGAACUACCUGGACCUCUACCUCAUGCAUUGGCCCAUGGCCUUCCAGCGUGGGACAGAGCUGAUGCCCAAGCGGGCCGAUGGGAGUGUGUGUUACGAUGACAUACACUACCAGGAAACAUGGGUUGCCAUGGAGAGCCUGGUUGAUAAGGGGCUGGUCCGAGCCAUCGGUCUGUCCAACUUCAACGCCAGACAGACAGACGAUGUCAUCAGCAUCGCCAAACACAAGCCUGUAGUCAACCAGGUGGAGUGUCACCCAUACCUGUCCCAGGCCAAGCUGCUGAGUCACUGCAGGUCGGUAGGUGUAUGUGUGACGGCCUACAGCCCCCUGGGUAGUGGUGACAGGCCCUGGGCCUCGCCUGAUGAACCCUGCCUGCUGCAGGACCCUGGACUGGGGGCUAUCGCCCUCCGCCACAGCAUGACCCCUGCUCAGGUCAUACUCAGGUGGCAGGUACAGAGAGGGGUAGUCUGCAUCCCCAAAAGUGUCACCCCCUCCAGGAUCCAGCAGAACCUACAGACAUGAAGCAGAUGGAGUCAUUCAGCAGAAACGAGAGGUACAUCGUCCCAGCUGUGGAGAGGGACGGAAAGAGAGUGUGGAGGGACGCAG